GGUACUUGUACCGACUGGAUGAGCAGCGAACGGGUGAGUAACGCGUGGGGAAUCUGCCUUUGAGCGGGGGACAACAUUUGGAAACGAAUGCUAAUACCGCAUAAAAACUUUAAACACAAGUUUUAAGUUUGAAAGAUGCAAUUGCAUCACUCAAAGAUGAUCCCGCGUUGUAUUAGCUAGUUGGUGAGGUAAAGGCUCACCAAGGCGAUGAUACAUAGCCGACCUGAGAGGGUGAUCGGCCACAUUGGGACUGAGACACGGCCCAAACUCCUACGGGAGGCAGCAGUAGGGAAUCUUCGGCAAUGGACGAAAGUCUGACCGAGCAACGCCGCGUGAGUGAAGAAGGUUUUCGGAUCGUAAAACUCUGUUGGUAGAGAAGAACGUUGGUGAGAGUGGAAAGCUCAUCAAGUGACGGUAACUACCCAGAAAGGGACGGCUAACUACGUGCCAGCAGCCGCGGUAAUACGUAGGUCCCGAGCGUUGUCCGGAUUUAUUGGGCGUAAAGCGAGCGCAGGUGGUUUAUUAAGUCUGGUGUAAAAGGCAGUGGCUCAACCAUUGUAUGCAUUGGAAACUGGUAGACUUGAGUGCAGGAGAGGAGAGUGGAAUUCCAUCGGUUAGCGGGU
rnacentral:rRNA from 1 species